rnacentral:ncRNA from 1 species
GGGCACUUCUUAGAGGUGGAAGAUUCUCGUUCUUCCUAUUUGACCCGAAACCGAUCGUUCUAGCCAUGAGCAGGUUGAAGAGAGCUCUAACAGCCCUUGGUGGACCGAACCCACGUAUGUGGCAAAAUACAUGGAGGACUUGUGGCUAGGGGUGAAAGGCCAACCAAGAUCGGAUUCUAUUUCAGUAGAGUGUAUGAUGUCGAUGGCCUGAGGUAGAGCACUCAAUAAGCUAGGGUGGCCCUAUUUUCGCCUUACCAACCCCAGAAAAAUUCCGAAUAUAGGCUU